rnacentral:rRNA from 1 species
GACAGAGGGUGCAAACGUUGUUCGGAAUUACUGGGCGUAAAGCGCGUGUAGGCUGCUUCGAAAGUCGGAUGUGAAAGCCCUGGGCUCAACCUAGGAAGUGCAUUCGAAACUUCAAAGCUGGAGUCCUGGAGAGGAAGGCGGAAUUCUCGGUGUAGAGGUGAAAUUCGUAGAUAUCGAGAGGAACACCGGUGGCGAAGGCGGCCUUCUGGACAGUGACGUGACGCA